rnacentral:sRNA from 1 species
GUUAAUGUGCUUUAUCACUGUUUUAGGCUCUGGGAAUAUGGUGGUGAAUAAGAAACACACUGUUCCUACAGUUUAGUGGAGAAUAAAGGCAUUGGACAAGUCAAGACAGGUAUAAAGAAUGCUAGGAAGGAGAAAUGUCAGGCAGCAGAGAUGAAAGCAGCAAAUGAAGCAGAAGGAAAAGUAGAAUCCGAGAAGGCAGACAUGGAAGAUGGAGAGAAGGAAGACAAAGACAAAGAAGAGGAGCAAGCUGAGUACCUGUGGACAGAAGUGACAAAAAAGAAGAAGCGGCGGUGUGGUCAGAAGGUUGAGAAGCUGGAAGCUUUCACAGCCAAUUUCUUUAAAGGGCUGGAAAUCUAUCAGACCAAGUUACUGCAUUACCUGGCCAGGAAUUUCUACAACCUGAGGUUCCUUGCUCUGUUUGUAGCCUUCGCUAUCAACUUCAUCCUGCUUUUUUAUAAGGUCACUGAAGAACCUUUAGAAGAAGAGACAGAGGAUGUUGCAAACCUAUGGAAUUCCUUUAAUGACGAGGAAGAGGAAGAAGCGAUGGUAUUCUUUGUCCUUCAGGAGAGCACCGGGUAUAUGGCACCAACACUGCGGGCCCUGGCCAUCAUCCACACCAUCAUCUCUCUAGUCUGCGUGGUGGGCUACUACUGCCUGAAGGUGCCUUUGGUGGUAUUCAAAAGGGAAAAAGAAAUCGCCAGGAAGCUGGAGUUUGAUGGCCUAUAUAUCACCGAACAGCCAUCUGAAGAUGACAUCAAGGGGCAGUGGGACCGCUUGGUGAUCAACACACCAUCUUUUCCUAAUAACUACUGGGACAAGUUUGUAAAGAGAAAGGUGAUCAACAAGUAUGGAGAUCUCUACGGAGCAGAACGCAUUGCUGAGCUUCUGGGUUUGGACAAAAAUGCUCUUGACUUUAGCCCAGUAGAAGAGACCAAAGCAGAAGCGGCUUCUCUGGUGUCAUGGCUAAGUUCCAUAGACAUGAAGUACCAUAUCUGGAAGCUUGGAGUUGUUUUUACUGACAACUCCUUUCUCUACCUUGCCUGGUAUACAACCAUGUCAGUCCUGGGCCACUACAAUAACUUCUUCUUUGCUGCUCACCUAUUGGACAUCGCAAUGGGCUUCAAGACACUGAGGACCAUUCUGUCAUCUGUAACUCAUAAUGGCAAACAGUUGGUUCUGACUGUUGGUCUCCUGGCCGUGGUGGUUUAUCUCUAUACCGUGGUGGCUUUCAAUUUCUUCCGCAAGUUCUACAACAAAAGCGAAGACGAUGACGAGCCCGAUAUGAAGUGCGACGACAUGAUGACGUGUUACCUUUUCCACAUGUACGUGGGAGUGAGAGCAGGAGGUGGCAUUGGUGAUGAAAUUGAAGACCCUGCUGGUGAUCCUUAUGAAAUGUAUCGCAUUGUCUUUGACAUUACCUUCUUCUUCUUUGUCAUUGUCAUCUUGCUGGCCAUCAUUCAAGGUCUUAUUAUUGAUGCUUUUGGAGAGCUAAGAGACCAGCAGGAACAAGUGCGAGAAGAUAUGGAGACUAAAUGUUUCAUCUGUGGGAUUGGCAAUGACUACUUUGACACGACCCCUCAUGGUUUUGAAACACAUACAUUACAAGAGCACAACUUAGCCAACUACUUGUUCUUCCUGAUGUAUUUGAUUAAUAAAGAUGAAACAGAGCACACGGGUCAGGAAUCUUAUGUCUGGAAGAUGUACCAAGAAAGGUGUUGGGAUUUCUUCCCAGCUGGUGACUGCUUUCGUAAACAAUAUGAAGAUCAGCUUGGAUAAAUCUGAAUGAAAGAAGCGCCACAAUUCUAGACAGUCAACUUCCCAUGAAAUAAAGUCCUCCUUUUACAGUUCUGCAACAUAUCUGAAAUGUGACAUUU